UAAAGAGGGUGCAAGCGUUAAUCGGAAUUACUGGGCGUAAAGCGCUCGUAGGUGGAUCUUUAAGUCGAUUGUGAAAGCCCCGGGCUCAACCUGGGAAUUGCACUCGAAACUGUAGAUCUAGAGUAUGGUAGAGGAAAGUAGAAUUCCCGGUGUAGCGGUGAAAUGCGUAGAUAUCGGGAGGAAUACCAGUGGCGAAGGCGGCUUUCUGGACCAAUACUGACACUGAGGGGCGAAAGCGUGGGGAGCAAACAGG
rnacentral:rRNA from 1 species